rnacentral:rRNA from 1 species
UACGUAGGGGGCAAGCGUUGUCCGGAAUUAUUGGGCGUAAAGAGCGUGUAGGCGGUCCGGUAAGUCCGCUGUGAAAGUCGGGGGCUCAACCCUCGAAUGCCGGUGGAUACUGUCGGGCUAGAGUGCGGAAGAGGCGAGUGGAAUUCCUGGUGUAGCGGUGAAAUGCGCAGAUAUCAGGAGGAACACCUAUUGCGAAGGCAGCUCGCUGGGACGUAACUGACGCUGAGACGCGAAAGCGUGGGGAGCAAACAGG